GGGGCACUAGCCUCAGUUGGUUAGAGCGCACCCUGAUAAGGGUGAGGUCGCUAGUUCGAGCCCAGCGUGCCCCA
rnacentral:tRNA from 1 species